rnacentral:rRNA from 1 species
GGUUCAUUCAAAUUUCUUCCCUAUCAACUUUCGAUGUUUGGGUAUUGGCCAAACAUGGUUGCAACGGGUAACGGAGGGUUAGGGCUCGACCCCGGAGAAGGAGCCUGGGAAACGGCUACUACAUCCAAGGAAGGCAGCAGGCGCGCAAAUUACCCAAUCCCGACCGGGGAGGUAGUGACAAUAAAUACUGAUACGGGGCUCUUUAGGGUCUUGUAAUUGGAAUGAGUACAAUUUAAAUCUCUUAACGAGGAACAAUUGGAGGGCAAGUCUGGUGCCAGCAGCCGCGGUAAUUCCAGCUCCAAUAGCGUAUAUUAAAGUUGUUGUGGUUAAAAAGCUCGUAGUUG